AAACAUUUCCCCUUGCAUUAUUCGUACUAAACAAUGCCAUCGUCUAAAUAUACCACAAAGAGGCGGUAUCUAUUCUACAUUUUGUAAUAUAUUUAUUGAAACCGAGUAAUUGUACAUUUUAAUUUUAGUGUUAUUACUUGGACACAAAGCCCAAUAUAUGUGCGAUGACAAUCUGCAUAUUCUUAUUUUAGUAAUUUAGAUUCAAAAUCUCGAUAUAGGCGGUGGUCACAAGAAGUUUUAUGUAUUUAACUCGUAUUUUCUUUCAUCAAAAGUAUGAAUCAUUAAAUGAUAACACAACUUAAACGUAAAAACAAAGGAACAUUUUGAUAAAUAAUUUUACUCUUGUUACUUAGAUAUAAAGCCGAGUAUAUGUGCUAUGACAAUCUGCAUAUUUCAUUUAAGUAACUCAGAUUUAAAAUCUUGAUAUAGGCGGAGGUCACAAGAACGUUUGUGUAUUGAACUCGAAUUUCUUUCUUCAAAAGUAUGAAACAUUAAAAGAACUUAGAAGUAAAAACAAAGGGACAUAUUGAUAAAUAAACAUCCACAUGACGCCACGGGAAAUCAAUUCAUCGCGUACAAUAUUAUUACCAAAUUACCCAAAUCAUUAUUUCACAAUUGUAAACCACUGUCACGUUCCAGUAAUUGAUUAUGCCUGUUAUAUCAUUAUGACCGUAUACGCUGAUGAGCUAUUGUUCCUAAUGGACAUUUGUGUUGUAGACAGAAACAUCAGUUGAAACACUAGGCCUUGAAGGCGCAAUACAAAUUCAAUCGUGCAGUUUCUGUGUGUUUUUUUGUUGGUUGUUUUGAAGAAUUAGGUGAUGACGACAUAUCUUUUGGAGUCUCUGUAUGUAUAUGGUCAAGAGGCAAUCAGAAACCAUGUAUGGAGGAAGACAGAUAAUACUAUGACCAACAAGAAUGUAGCAUAAAGACAAAUCCAAAAAUAUCAUACAGAAAUGGAGGAAAACAGAUAAUACUAUGACCAACAAGAAUGUAGCACAAAGACAAGUCCACAAAUAUCAUACAGAAAUGGAGGAAAACAUAUAAUACUUUGACCAACAAGAAUAUAGCACAAAGACAAGUCCACAAAUAUCGUACAGAAAUUUAAAGAUGGAUUUAAAUGAAACUCUCUUAGAUUCAUAUUGUCAUAAUGUAUUUCCUAGUUGAUAAAUGUAAUUUUGUUUUGGUUUUUCCUUUUGGAAAAUUAAAGUUUAUAAUUG